rnacentral:rRNA from 1 species
GACGAACGCUGGCGGCGUGCUUAACACAUGCAAGUCGAACGGUGAAGCUCCAGCUUGCUGGAGUGGAUCAGUGGCGAACGGGUGAGUAACACGUGAGCAACCUGCCCCUGACUCUGGAAUAAGCGCUGGAAACGGCGUCUAAUACUGGAUACGAGAAGGGUCCGCAUGGGCACCUUCUGGAAAGUUUUUCGGUUGGGGAUGGGCUCGCGGCCUAUCAGCUUGUUGGUGAGGUAAUGGCUCACCAAGGCGACGACGGGUAGCCGGCCUGAGAGGGCGACCGGCCACACUGGGACUGAGAAACGGCCCAGACUCCUACGGGAGGCAGCAGUGGGGAAUAUUGCACAAUGGGCGAAAGCCUGAUGCAGCGACGCCGCGUGAGGGAUGACGGCCUUCGGGUUGUAAACCUCUUUCAGCAGGGAAGAAGCGAAAGUGACGGUACCUGCAGAAGAAGCACCGGCUAACUACGUG